UACGUAGGGUGCAAGCGUUAAUCGGAAUUACUGGGCGUAAAGCGUGCGCAGGCGGUUUUGUAAGUCUGUCGUGAAAGCCCCGGGCUCAACCUGGGAAUUGCGAUGGAGACUGCAAGGCUUGAAUCUGGCAGAGGGGGGUAGAAUUCCACGUGUAGCAGUGAAAUGCGUAGAGAUGUGGAGGAACACCGAUGGCGAAGGCAGCCCCCUGGGAUGAUACUGACGCUGAGGCGCGAAAGCGUGGGGAGCGAACAGG
rnacentral:rRNA from 1 species